AUGGCUGGAUAUACCACAUGGAUUCAUCAUGGAGAAAGUAUGCGGCCCUCCGAAACAACUUCAGGUCCUAGUUCACAGUUUGAAGAAUAUGCUGAUAGUGAUGAGAUGGAUGAGAUGCUACUGGAAGGAUUUGGGAUGUACGAUACUUGUACUUUAGGAGAGGAGCAAGAGUCUGAAGAUGACUUGGACGAUGAUGUUGAAGCAUACUAUAGAUUAGUUAAUGAUGGACGCCAAGAGAUGUACCCAGGUUGCAAAAGAUUCUCGAAGCUUCAAUUUUUGGUGAGGUUGCUUCACAUCAAGAAUAUGAGGGGAAUGAGCAAUGUCUGCUUUGAUGAGGUAUUCACAAUAAUUAAGGAGGCACUUCCAGAAGGUGAGGCCUUGCCCAAAAAUUUUCAUGGGGACAAAAAGUUUGUGAGAGCGAUUGGUAUUGGAUAUGAUAGUAUAGAUGCAUGCAAAAACGAUUGCUUUCUAUUUAGGAAGGAGCAUGCUGAUGCCAUAUCAUGUCCAGUAUGUGGCACAAGUAGAUGGAAGAGCGUAAAUACUGGAGUUGAUGGAAGGCGUGUCCACAAGGUGCCUCAAAAGGUGGUUCGUCAUUUCCCGCUAAAGAAGAGACUCCAAAUGUUGUUCGCUUCUACAAAGAUGACAUCAGAUAUGAGGUGGCACAGCGAAGGCCGAACAAAGGACGGCUUGAUACGACACCCACCUGAUUCACCUGCAUGGAAACACUUUUAUGCUAUUCACAAAGACUUCAGUUCAGAAGUUUGCAACGUUAGAUUUGGAUUGGGAGCUGAUGGUUUCAACCCUUUUGGAUAUAUGAAUCUCUCAUAUAACAUAUGGCCAUCUUGA
rnacentral:rRNA from 1 species